UGAAGUCGGAAUUGCUAGUAAUCGCGGAUCAGCAUGCCGCGGUGAAUACGUUCCCGGGCCUUGUACACACCGCCCGUCACACCAUGGGAGUCGGUAACACCCGAAGCCUGUAGUCUAACCGCAAGGGGACGCAGUCGAAGGUGGGAUUGAUGACUGGGGUGAAGUCGUAACAAGGUAAC
rnacentral:rRNA from 1 species